ensembl:miRNA
GGCCAGAGCAUCAGCACCUUGGCUUUAGACUGCUUACUGCUUAUACAGUGUCACAGUACAGUAACAGUCUACAGUCAUGGCUACUGAAGCCUGGC